rnacentral:lncRNA from 1 species
GAUUAUUGAUAUCAACUCUGGAGAAAAGAAUAAGUCUUACACCCGGCAUAACAACAGCAAAACCAUAUUCCUGCUGCUGUCAGUUAUGAUGCACUGAGAAAACUUCAGAGACCUAAACUUUUUCCAGAGAAGAGAAGCUUUACUGGUGUUCCAGCCCUAAGAAACUUAAAUCCUCAGUGUGACACAACUCAGUCCUUCUACUGCAGCA